rnacentral:rRNA from 1 species
UAGGGAAUCUUCCACAAUGGGCGAAAGCCUGAUGGAGCAACGCCGCGUGUGUGAUGAAGGCUUUCGGGUCGUAAAGCACUGUUGUAUGGGAAGAACAGCUAGAAUAGGAAAUGAUUUUAGUUUGACGGUACCAUACCAGAAAGGGACGGCUAAAUACGUGUCAG